AUUAAGAAAGAGCUAGUCAGUAAAAAGCCAGAGUCAUCGGCCAAACAGUUUGUAGUUAACAUAAACCUCUGUGUAUUUCUAUGGUUCUAAAGGGCUGCAUGACCAGGUAGGACAGGAAACUCUGUUUACACUUAUGUGUUCAUCUUUGGGUGCCUGUGAUGAGCCCAGGGUCUCCUGCCUACUCUACCACUAAGCUCAACUCUGAGCCCUAAAGGAACUGCUUUUUGGGGCCACCUUUUGUUGUGACUGUCAAUACUGAUAGUGUUCUUCAACAUUGGACACAUCUUUCCAAAUCUAGUAAUUGGAGGGCAGAGACAGGCAAAUCCUAGGGCCUUAAUGGCUAGCCUGCCCAAUCAUGUACACACACAUACACACGUACAUACAAAAAUAAAUAAGUGUGUAAAUAAUUUUUAAAAUAUUUCAUGAAUCCUAGAAUAUAAAGGCCACUUUUGGGCUCAUCAAGAAUGUGUACCUAUAUAUAUUUCUGCAUUAAACACACUGAAAUCAUUUUCUGGAGUUCAAUUUAUAUAUGUUGCACUUAUAUUGAAUAUGUAUGCAAAUAAACAGAAAGUUUGAAGGUAACAGUAAUGAAAUAAAUCCAUUUGUGCAUAUGUAAUCAUGCUAUAUAUAUUCAGUAUUGCUGUAGGCAUUUACUAGAUCAUAUUUUCCUUGUUUCUGUCAUUAUACAUAGUAUAGUUCCAUGUCUACAUGUGUAAAUUAGUUGCAUCCUUUCAAUGAUUAUUUAGUGUAUGUUGCUGCACCUUGUUCCCUGUGCACAAGACAUUCCAGGUUGCUUCCCACAUCAGUUUUCAGACGAUGCCUCGUCUCACACGUCUUUCACAGAUUAAGAACUCUCAUGGGAAAGAUUCCCAGUUGUGAAGACAACAGGGUGGUCACAUUAUAUAGAGACAAACACUGCAUAUUUAUAGAGUCUUCUGCAUCCUGAGAAAACUCAGCUCAGAGGCAAAGAAUUGAGUCAAGAGAAAGCAGAGCCCUGUGCUCAUGUUGUGGGUCCAUUGCCCUUUGUUAUGGUGGAAGUCACUCUUCAUUGCCACAACAACAGAAAAUAAACUUCAGGACACAGAAGCAAUUAUAUUCAUCUAGAAGGUGAAGUAAGAAAGCAUGAGAAAGUUAACCAGGAGAAUAAUUUCACUUAGGUAUCAUUUAAGGCAUUUAUAAUAGGCAUGCACAUUUAUUUUAAAUUAGAUUUUAGAAAAUAAUACACAAGGAAAGUAUCUUUUCAGUUAAAAAAAAGCACAAGGCUUCAUUCAUCCAGAGAGAAUAAGGGUGUUUUAAAAUAAAGUUCCAGACAGGUGAAGUGUCUCACAUCUGUAAUCUGAGUAUUCUGGAAACUGAGAUGGGAGGAUUGCUAUAAAGCUCAAGUCUAGCCUGGGCUGCAUAGUGAAAACCUGUCUCAGAGGUCUGAAAACAGGAAUAAAAACAUCAGUUGAUGAGGCAGUUGAUUCCAAAAAAAAUGUAGGGUAUGGGAAACACCACACCAAGAAACCAAACAGGCGAAAACGAAAAAGAAAUUGCCUCUCAACCUCAGUCUUGACUGUGCUUCAUUCAAAUCAACAGAAUUAUUGCAAAUUGGGGUAGUUAUAUAAAAGUCAAACAAGGAGGUAUUGAGAGUCAAUCUUAGUGUUGUUAAAUUAAUUUAGGAACUUCCUUCUCUAUUUCCCCUACUUCUGCUUUAUAUGUUCGGCUCCCUUCUCUCCUAAUUUACAUCCUGGACUGAUGUUAUUUUUACCCUUCUGGGUAAGAGAUUCAAAAAUAAAAACCUAAAAGUUAUUUGUUCCCUGACAAUUUGUAUAGCAUAACGUGCUACCAAUCGCAUACACCUUGGUUAUGAGCUGGGAUGUUGUUUGUCUAGAUUCUUAUCAUAAAUUAACAUAAUUAGUUAGCAUAAAUAAUUUAGGGAUAUUGUGUGUGUGUGUGUGUGUGUGUGAGAGAGAGAGAGAGAGAAACAGAAAAUAAUCUUCACUGAAACAUUUGAGGUUUUCUCCAUUAUAACCAUAGAAUGGAGAUUAUACUAUAAACACUGUACAAUCUUCUUUAAUGUUUUAUUUUUUAACUGAGAAAUGGAUAAUUCCCACUAAAAGGGGAUAUUAAGAUAUCAGGAUAUCUGAAUCCAAGUCAGGUCCUCAGCUAAACCUCACUAACUAGUACAUUCAUGUGUUAGGACUUUCUAAUACUGGGCUUACACUGAACCACUUCCUCCACAUUUAAAAUUCCCAUUGUCUCACCAUCCAAUCCCCUCAGCAGAGGUCAGCUGUCAAGGGAAUAUACAUCAAGGGCAUAACCAGAUCCAGAAUGAGAUGUUACUAGUGUAUUGACCGACACUAAAAUAAACUUGCCUCUAAAAACAAGCAAGAAGACAUUAUAAAACUGCAGGUCCCGAUCCAGAGGAAUGAAGGUUCAUGUUAAGAACUUCAUCUUCAAAGGCAAUAUCUACAGUCUGUUGCUCACUGCCCACUUUCCAUGAGAUCACCCCUUUCAAAUUUGAAGGCCAAGCAUCCAGUUUCCAAAGCCUUUUGCUGGAUAGCAAUGAUAUCACCUCUUCAGUACAGUAAGUCACAUGUGCCAUGAUGAUGCACUCUGGGAAAUGACACAUCAAGCAGCCGCGGUGUGCUCUGAAAAGAAAUGGCACUCUAAAGAAAGAAACCCAAGCAAAUCCUUCCGAAAACAGGAGCACCUUCAGUUCAUGGAGUUCGGCAUUGGUCAUAUCCUUCAUGGCUGGCAAGCAUUUUGGUGAAGUCUAAAAACUCUUCUCUGGUUAGGUGGAAAUGUCUUCCAUGUGCAUUCUUGGUCAGCCUCCAUCUCUCCACUGAAGGAACAAAAAUGAUGGUUUUCCUAAGUGAGCCUGUCCCAUGAGUCUGUUUGUCAACUGGAUGCAAAUCGCCUCCACAUUUUCUCAGGCAUGAGAAGAGAAAGCAGCCAAUGUAAGCCACACUGCAAGGAGAGACCGGUUCUGUCUAUGCCAGCCCACAGUGGCAGGUCAGAAAGAAUUCUGUGCUCACAUAUAGGAAACAGAUAUUUCCAUAUUUAACUGACAAUGCUUUUGAUAAUUCUACAAUGGACCAAAAAGGCUUGAAGAAAAUAUUAAAGACAGUUUUAUUUAUCAUGUUUACCUCAUAUUGAAGGCAGACAAGAAUGGAGGUUCUUACCAUAUGCAUUGCCUUUUGGAAAAAAGAUUUCUGGUUUGCAACUUGAUGGACCUUAGUCUGGAAUUGACUAUGAAGUCAGGUCUCUCUCACUUUGAAAAUGUGAAUAUAUUAGUGCAGUACAAAGCUCUGGUCACAGUGUCUACUUUCAGAAGAUGGCAUUGAAUUUCCAGGGGCAGGAAUGUUCUGGAAUGUUGUCAAAGGAGGAAAAAACAGUGUCCUCCCCACACAUUUAGAAAAAUAAAGGUUCGGAGAACAUGGCGUACUACUUAUUAAAGGUUUUGCAAAACACCACACCUCAGCAAACAUUCCUGAGAAGCGAAGGAAACACUGGUCACUGCUGCACCUCGGUGUCUUCAGUUCUGGUUUUAGUGAAAGGGACAAUAGCACGGAACCAAGGCCAGCACUGGAGGAAAGAACCCAGGCCACAGUGGCAAAUCUUUAAACGAGCCCACAGUCCUGUUUCAAGCCCUUGGUGUGGGUCUGUCAUUCUAAGCGAUAUUUGGGGCUUCGUGGUGACUCUGGUGGGUAACCAAGUCUGUCCCUGAAGUUGACACUUAGCAACUUCCUUUUUCUUCACCCCCACUGCGCCUGAUUGGGUUCGCUGGGUUCACUCUGCAUGGGUCAACCCAAGUCUAGCUGCCCCUCAGGCCAGCUCAUUUCCUGGGUUCGCUGGGUUCACUCUGCAUGGGUCAACCCAAGUCUAGCUGCCCCUCAGGCCAGCUCAUUUCCUGGGUUCGCUGGGUUCACUCUGCAUGGGUCAACCCAAGUCUAGCUGCCCCUCAGGCCAGAUCAUUUCCUGUCUCCCUUAGAAGGUUUGAAGAAACUGAUGUUGCCAGUCUCAGUAGGGACCAAAGAAAAUUCAAUAUUCCGCUUAUGAUGGAAUAGCUUGUCCACUGGUGUGCCCUACACCCAAAGCAAUUUCUUGAGGGUGUGCAAAGCAUUGCUUUAAGGUGGUCAGCCAUGCUGCAGACCACCGAAAGACAACAGAGUCAUGUUCAUUACCCUCAGAGGGAAGAAUUCAUGAAGAAGCAGCUUGUUUGGAGGUAAGCUGCCACAGUCCUUUAAAAGAAACAGCAAAUAAAUAAGAAAAAAAUUAACUUAAAAAAACAAAUAAAAAUGAGCCAAAUAUAUACUGCUUCAGACUCCCAGGCCAUAGUCAUAGGGCACCUGCCUUGCGUACAUCGGUAACCUUACCUAUACUUACCCAGCCAAUUCUGAAGAAGAAAGUCCAGCUAGAAAACACAAUUGUGUGGAUAGAAACAAACAUUUUUCAGGUUUGAAGUAGAUUACAAAUCAUUGGAAGAAAAUCCCACAUGUUAAAGUUUGAGAUGCUUUUCUUUCCUGUGCAUGAAUAUUCAUUCUCAAAGAGGCCCCUUUGAGAUUCAGGAUUCUGCUUCUGAACAAGGUGCCACCAUGAUUCUCUGCAUCCCUGAAUGGGCUGCCUUAUGCCAUGGUCCUGCUCGUCAAGCCUCCGUAGAAGACUUUGAGCAGUCACCUGUAAUCACGGUGUACUAGGGGCUGUGGCAACCUUUCUGAAUCGGUCAGCCUGCCUUCCCUUUCUGCCAAUUUCCUACCUUUUUUGUCUCAGUUCUAAAUGGUGGUAUUGCAUCCUUACCAACCCUCUACCAGCAUGGUUUUAAAAUAUGUCUUUUGAGUCAUAAAACACAUAAAUUGUAACUGUAUUGUCUAAUGAGAUAUCACAAAGCAUAAAACCUCAGGUCAUUCACCCUUUUAAUAAAAUCUUAUCAGUAUCCCAAAA